GCUCAGAAACUUAAAGGAAUUGACGGGGGCCCGCACAAGCGGUGGAGCAUGUGGUUUAAUUCGAUGAUACGCGAGGAACCUUACCUGGGCUCAAAUGUAUGUUGACGUAUUCUGAAAGGGAUACUUCUUCGGACAAUAUACAAGGUGCUGCAUGGUUGUCGUCAGCUCGUGCCGUGAGGUGUCGGGUUAAGUCCCAUAACGAGCGCAACCCCUAUCAUUAGUUGCCAUCAGGUAAUGCUGGGGACUCUAAAGGAACUGCCUACGCAAGUAGUGAGGAAGGCGGGGAUGACGUCAAAUCAGCACGGCCCUUACGUCCAGGGCUACACACGUGCUACAAUGGCCGAUACAGAGGGCAGCUACCUGGUGACAGGAUGCAAAUCUCCAAAGUCGGUCUCAGUUCGGAUCGGAGUCUGCAACCCGACUCCGUGAAGUUGGAUUCGCUAGUAAUCGCGCAUCAGCCAUGGCGCGGUGAAUACGUUCCCGGGCCUU
rnacentral:rRNA from 1 species